CAAAACCAACAUCGGGACUUCUGCACUAAUGGGAUACAAUCUUGGCACUACGUUCAAGCUUGAAGUCAAAUGAAAGAAGAUCAUUGGGUUUCAUAGAUCUUCUGACAAAAACCUUCGCUCUCUAGGAGCUUAUUUUGCACCGAUUUCUCCUUCUAAUUUGAAAUACUAAUUGGAAAAAGCUACAUAUGCUCUUCAUCCGUUUGGUUUAAUGUUGUUUUGAGUCUGUACUAAUUUACUAUGUCAUCAUCUUUCAUGUUUGUUUUGGUGUGGCUUUCACAAAUUCCAUCGUUUGCAAGUUGUAUAAACUGCAGUAAGGCAAGGAUUGCUAACCGUCAUAAGAUUAUGAACUGAAAUAAUUGAAGCAGAAGCAAGCUAAUCGCAUGAGAUUUAUUGCUCCAACAGAUACGAUGGUGAACCAUUGCUAUGAAGCCGGGAAUGGAAAAUUGAGAUCUUGAAAAGUUAUGGCGGACAACCUAAUUGGCAGAUGCGUGAAAACGAUACUGGGGAUCAUAUUCCAUACGAAGUUUAAAAGCUCCCAGUUAUCAUUAUUACAUAUGGUAAAUGUUUGGAGUAUCUUGACCAUCAACUAUUGUUUGCCGUGCGGAUUAACAACUACGUGUUUAGAGUUUGUAAAAGAUUUCAUGAAACAGAACAAGGCUGGGAGCUUUUACUUAUGUGGCUGCCUUGGAAUUGAAAAGUCAUUUUCGAUGGAGAAAGUAAGAUUACAAGUUGAGCACUGGCCAAAACAGGAAGGCUUGCCUUGGAUAGAAAUAAUGUAUGUUAACUGCACGUCACUGACAGAAAACAUAUAUAUUCUCAAAGGUAGGAAGGCAUUGCUACAGCUCAACGAGGAGAAACCCAUUGUCCUUUAUGAGCCUGAUUCACACCUCUAGCAAGCAAACUGUUGUUCGACCGCAUCUCAUGAAAAGGUUCAAGUCAUGAUAGUUCUGUAGACAUAGACUACGGUGUUGCAGAAAGUACAAUAAUAAAUACAGGAGAAUUCUGAUACCUUCAGAGGGAAACAGAGCGAGAAGAUGCUAUAAGAUGCGAGAUGUAUAUCAGAUCUGAAAUCAGGACAAGAUUCAGGGAAAGAGGAAGAAGAGGAUCAAGAGAUUGGAGCAAAUAACGUGUUCAAGAAAGUGAGAGAAAAAAACUAAGAAGAGCAGGAACAGUCUUACUAAACAUGGUCAUAGUCAUUACCACGAUAAUGAGCAUGAAAUAUGACGAGCAAGAACCAAAAAUGGCACAGAGAGCCAAGUUUGCCAUUUACCUUAGAGAAAGACAUAAGCAUUAAGUUUAAGUGACAUUAACGGUUUCUUUUCACCUAUUCUUUCAUUGUUUAUUUUGAAAGAAUCUUUGAGUAGACUUAGAUAUCUCGUGUUCUGCUUCAUCAAUGUCAUAGGGAUGCCUGCUUAUGAUUCAUGGACGUGUGGAAGAAAAGCACGCAUCUGGUCAGUGCUUUGAAAUCAGAGCAAGAUAAGGGCAACACACCCAAGCAUCUCUACAAUGAACGA